UACGAAGGGUGCAAACGUUGCUCGGAAUUAUUGGGCGUAAAGCGCACGUAGGCGGCUUUGCAAGUCGGAUGUGAAAUCCCUCGGCUCAACCAAGGAAGUGCAUCCGAAACUGCAGAGCUUGAGUACCAAAGAGGAUCGCGGAAUUCCCGGUGUAGAGGUGAAAUUCGUAGAUAUCGGGAGGAACACCAGUGGCGAAGGCGGCGAUCUGGGUGGAUACUGACGCUGAGGUGCGAAAGCUAGGGGAGCAAACGGG
rnacentral:rRNA from 1 species